rnacentral:rRNA from 1 species
UUAAGUUAGAAAGGGCGCACGGUGGAUGCCUUGGCACUAGGAGCCGAAGAAGGACGGGACUAACACCGAUAUGCUUUGGGGAGCUGUACGUAAGCGUUGAUCCAGAGAUUUCCGAAUGGGGGAACCCACUAUCUUUAGUCGGAUAGUAUCCUUACGUGAAUACAUAGCGUGAGGAAGGCAGACCCAGGGAACUGAAACAUCUAAGUACCUGGAGGAAGAGAAAGAAAAAUCGAUUUCCUGAGUAGCGGCGAGCGAAACGGAAAGAGCCCAAACCAAGAAGCUUGCUUCUUGGGGUUGUAGGACACUCUAUACGGAGUUACAAAAGAAAGUUAUAAAUGAAGCGGUCUGGAAAGGCCCGCCAAAGACGGUAACAGCCCGGUAGUUGAAAUAGCUUUCCCUCCAGAGUGGAUCCUGAGUACGGCGGAACACGUGAAAUUCCGUCGGAAUCCGGGAGGACCAUCUCCCAAGGCUAAAUACUCCCUAGUGACCGAUAGUGAACCAGUACCGUGAGGGAAAGGUGAAAAGCACCCCGGAAGGGGAGUGAAACAGUUCCUGAAACCGUGUGCCUACAAGUAGUUAGAGCCCGUUAAUGGGUGAUAGCGUGCCUUUUGUAGAAUGAACCGGCGAGUUACGAUUUGUUGCAAGGUUAAGCGGAAAAAGCGGAGCCGUAGCGAAAGCGAGUCUGAAUAGGGCGCAUAAGUAACAGGUCGUAGACCCGAAACCAGGUGAUCUACCCAUGUCCAGGAUGAAGGUAAGGUAAUACUUACUGGAGGUCCGAACCCACGCACGUUGAAAAGUGCGGGGAUGAGGUGUGGGUAGCGGAGAAAUUCCAAUCGAACUUGGAGAUAGCUGGUUCUCUCCGAAAUAGCUUUAGGGCUAGCCUCGAGGUAAAGAGUCAUGGAGGUAGAGCACUGUUUGGACUAGGGGCCCUUCUCGGGUUACCGAAUUCAGAUAAACUCCGAAUGCCAUGUACUUAUACUCGGGAGUCAGACUGCGAGUGAUAAGAUCCGUAGUCGAAAGGGAAACAGCCCAGACCACCAGUUAAGGUCCCCAAAUAUAUGUUAAGUGGAAAAGGAUGUGGGGUUGCUUAGACAACCAGGAUGUUGGCUUAGAAGCAGCCACCAUUGAAAGAGUGCGUAAUAGCUCACUGGUCGAGUGACCCCGCGCCGAAAAUGUACCGGGGCUAAACAUAUUACCGAAACUGUGGAUGAACCUCUUUAGAGGUUCGUGGUAGGAGAGCGUUCUAAGGGCGGUGAAGUCAGACCGGAAGGACUGGUGGAGCGCUUAGAAGUGAGAAUGCCGGUAUGAGUAGCGAAAGAAGGGUGAGAAUCCCUUCCACCGAAUAUCUAAGGUUUCCUGAGGAAGGCUCGUCCGCUCAGGGUUAGUCGGGACCUAAGCCGAGGCCGAUAGGCGUAGGCGAUGGACAACAGGUAGAGAUUCCUGUACCAGUGCUAAUUGUUUAACCGAUGGGGUGACACAGAAGGAUAGGGAAUCGCACGAAUGGAAAUGUGCGUCCAAGCAGUGAGUGUGAGAAGUAGGCAAAUCCGCUUCUCGCGAAGCAUGAGCUGUGAUGGGGAAGGAAAUUAAGUACGGAAGUUCCUGAUUUCACGCUGUCAAGAAAAGCCUCUAGGAAGAGUAGUACUGCCCGUACCGCAAACCGACACAGGUAGAUGAGGAGAGAAUCCUAAGGUGAGCGAGAGAACUCUCGUUAAGGAACUCGGCAAAAUGACCCCGUAACUUCGGGAGAAGGGGUGCUCUAUUAGGGUGCAAGCCCGAGAGAGCCGCAGUGAAUAGGCCCAGGCGACUGUUUAGCAAAAACACAGGUCUCUGCAAAACCGUAAGGUGACGUAUAGGGGCUGACGCCUGCCCGGUGCUGGAAGGUUAAGAGGAGUGCUUAGCUUCGGCGAAGGUACGAAUUGAAGCCCCAGUAAACGGCGGCCGUAACUAUAACGGUCCUAAGGUAGCGAAAUUCCUUGUCGGGUAAGUUCCGACCCGCACGAAAGGCGCAACGAUCUGGGCACUGUCUCAACGAGAGACUCGGUGAAAUUAUAGUACCUGUGAAGAUGCAGGUUACCCGCGACAGGACGGAAAGACCCCGUGGAGCUUUACUGCAACCUGAUAUGGAAUGUUUGU